GACGAACGCUGGCGGCGUGCCUAAUACAUGCAAGUCGAACGCUUCUUUCCUCCCGAGUGCUUGCACUCAAUUGGAAAGAGGAGUGGCGGACGGGUGAGUAACACGUGGGUAACCUACCCAUCAGAGGGGGAUAACACUUGGAAACAGGUGCUAGUACCGCAUAACAGUUUAUGCCGCAUGGCAUAAGAGUGAAAGGCGCUUUCGGGUGUCGCUGAUGGAUGGACCCGCGGUGCAUUAGCUAGUUGGUGAGGUAACGGCUCACCAAGGCCACGAUGCAUAGCCGACCUGAGAGGGUGAUCGGCCACACUGGGACUGAGACACGGCCCAGACUCCUACGGGAGGCAGCAGUAGGGAAUCUUCGGCAAUGGACGAAAGUCUGACCGAGCAACGCCGCGUGAGUGAAGAAGGUUUUCGGAUCGUAAAACUCUGUUGUUAGAGAAGAACAAGGACGUUAGUAACUGAACGUCCCCUGACGGUAUCUAACCAGAAAGCCACGGCUAACUACGUG
rnacentral:rRNA from 1 species